AGAACCUCCUGUUCAUAAGCAAAUGCAGCUGGGCAAACAGAGAGCCCAGCUGCUUAAUGCAAACAGCGCCUCUCUGGAGUGCUGGAGGAGCAACGGAGGGGCAGGACUGUAUAUUCUUCUGCUCCUUGGUAACUGCAGGAGGCUGGAGAAUUCAGCAUGGGACUGUAGUGUAUCACAUCAUGUUUUAGGAUGCAACUAGAAGAGCUAACUACAAGAAUCACCUCUAUAGUUAAGCUGGACUUGUGAUAUGGAAGGAUAAAAUGAAUCGCCAGCUAAUAUUGGGAGAAUUAAUC